rnacentral:rRNA from 1 species
UGGGGAAUAUUGCACAAUGGGCGCAAGCCUGAUGCAGCCAUGCCGCGUGUAUGAAGAAGGCCUUCGGGUUGUAAAGUACUUUCAGUCGGGAGGAAGGUGGUAAGGUUAAUAACCUUAUCAAUUGACGUUACCGACAGAAGAAGCACCGGCUAACUCCGUGCCAGCAGCCGCGGUAAUACGGAGGGUGCAAGCGUUAAUCGGAAUUACUGGGCGUAAAGCGCACGCAGGCGGUUGAUUGAGUCAGAUGUGAAAUCCCCGGCUUAACCCGGGAAUUGCAUCUGAUACUGGUCAGCUAGAGUCUUGUAGAGGGGGGUAGAAUUCCAUGUGUAGCGGUGAAAUGCGUAGAGAUGUGGAGGAAUACCGGUGGCGAAGGCGGCCCCCUGGACAAAGACUGACGCUCAGGUGCGAAAGCGUGGGGAGCAAACAGG